rnacentral:lncRNA from 1 species
ACAGUUAUCAGCCUAUCAUAACAUGAGGAAAUUGAUCAUAUAGAUAUAGUAAAUCAUGAAAAUGGCCCAGUUGAAACCUGGGGGGUGAUAACACCUAGAUGUGUUGCCUAGGGCCAUUUAUCCAGUUAUUUCAUUGCCGCUGAGUAGAUUUCUGGGCCUGAAGAGGAUGGCACCUAGGAAGAGUUCUCAAGGUUCUUUCCAAGCACAUGCACAAUCCACAACACUA